ACACCAGUUUUCAUGAAGCCUACUGUAUUGUGCAGAAAGUCCCAGAAAAUUUAGGGCCAAAAGGAGAGAAAGCAGCAAGAAACGAUUUGAAGCUAACAACAACGGGUGAGAAACUUCUUUCUUUGUCUCUGAUUCUUUGAUCUCUCAAAAGCCCUCUCACUUGUCACUGUUUCUCUUGUUUCGAAUAAGAAGAGAAAAUCUCACUGAAUUCGGCUUAUGAUUUUCUUGGCACAGAAAAUCUUCCUGCAACUUGUUGUGGAUUCGCUGAGAAAAGAACUAUAUUCCUGAAUGAUUUGAGAAAACACAGCUUUCAGAUUGGUUUUUUUGAAUGCUUUGAGAUUAUCGGAUGUCUAAAUUUUGAACAUUUUUUAGGGGUUUUUGAUCUGGGCAGUAUAGAAUUGAUGAUCCUGAGUUGGGUCUUUACUCGUAUGAGAAAGAUUUGAAGAAAUCCAUUUGAAAUUUUUUGAGGUAGCUCGAUUUGUUAUUUGCGGUUGUGCAAAAGUGCUUUCGAUCUUCAUGAACUUGUUGCUGUAACUGUGGAAACUGUGGAGUUGACUGGUGUAAUCAGCUUUGAAGCAUUAUAGAGAGGGAACGAGAAGUCUGAAUAAGGAUAGUAAAAGAAUUGGGAUAGAUGGGAAGGCCAUUGUUUUAUGAGAUCUUGGAAAAACCAGCCACAAGUUGUAUCAUAGGAAUAUGCUGUGCAAUUUGGUUCUAUAUACAGAAAAAACACAUUGGGUAUUCACACGUGGGGUUGAGUUAUGAAACCGCCAUUGAAGGGCACCAUUGGAGGAUCAUAACUUCAGCCUUUUCUCAUAUAAGCAUACUUCAUCUUGUAUUCAACAUGAGUGCACUUUGGAGUCUUGGGAUAGUAGAGAAAUUGGGGCAUUUGGGACUUGGGGUGGAAUAUUAUCUCCAGUACUCACUUGUCAUGGUUGUACUCUCUGGGUUGCUAGUUUUGGGUAUGUACCAUAUCCUGAUCCAGAGAUUCAAGCUUGAGUAUUUUAGAAGAGUGACUGCUGUUGGAUAUUCUUGUGUUGUUUUUGGGUGGAUGACCAUUCUUUCUGUAAAGCAACCUUCUUCAAAGUUGGAUCUUUUUGGGUUUCUUUCGCUUCCCAUAAGUUUUGCUCCAUUCGAGUCGCUGAUUUUUACUUCGAUUAUUGUUCCACAAGCAAGUUUUCUAGGGCAUUUAUCAGGAAUCAUUGUUGGAUAUGCUAUUGCAUGGGGUUUGAUUCAUGGGAUGAACAAUUUUUGGGCAGUUUCGAUGUUAGGAUGGAUUGCAGUUGUGUUUAUAUUCAGCUUGAAGCGCUCUGGUGCUUAUGAUUUUAAUUUCCUUGAGAUUGAAUCUGUUACAGAUCCUUCCUUGCCAUCCGUGCGGUUUCUUGGGUCAGGAAAUGGUAGAACAUUGCAAAUGAGUGCAUUACCAGUAGCAGGUACUGAGCUUGUGUAGUAUCUUGUCAUGAUCUACCUGCAUGGGCUUUAGUUCUUAUAUGCCUUCUGCUACGAAGUUACAAGUUUUGAAAUGAUUCGUUUUUAACUCCUCACAGUGGCAGAUGCAUGCUGUUGUGCUAAAUUUGGUCAUUCAGUGGCAUCCUGUUGGAGGCCUUGCUCCAAAUGUUGAUCUUCGCGAUUAAUUAUGACUAUGAAACUGGUCAAGACAAUCAUGGGAUAACUAGUAAGAGGCUGUUGGUCUUGUGGUUUAUACCACUUCUUUAAUAUUAGAGUUGCAACUUUUGCAUGCAUGACAAAAUAUUCCUAUGUUCAUUGACUCAAAAAUUCAAGUACGGCAAGCUACUAUCUUCUUACAAGUUUCUGGAAGUUUUUGGCCUACUAUUUUGUUUUACCUUUUCUUGUUACUUCAUUUUCGAGGGAGAUUUGGCACAACCUAAAGUCUGCAUGCUCUAAAAUUUUCCAAGUGAUUCAACAAUUGAAGGCUUUCUUCUUCUUUAUGUGUUUAUUAUUUUGUUUUUGGAAUUGGAUCAUCAUGAUUCUCACCAUAUUCUAACUGAUGUCAAGUAAUGUAUAUCUCAGGUUGCCAUUGUCUGGAAUGGCAGAAAUUUUUUUGUAAUGUCCACGUUAUGAUAUGUUUUUUAAAAGAAUGAUUACUGUAAAAUAGAAAAUUCUGCUUUCAAGUAA